rfam:Picea glauca, whole genome shotgun sequence.
AUGUACAUUCCUACAACAUAGUGUUAAUGCACAAGAUCCCAUUAGAACUUCGUUGUUAAGCAUGCUUGGGCUAGAGUAGUGCCGGGAUGGGUGACCUCCUGAGAAUUCCUAGUAUUUUACACG